rnacentral:lncRNA from 1 species
GAGAAUAGUUUAAUAUGAUCGUUAAUAAUAUGAUUAACAGCAAUUUUAUCAUCUUGCAUUUUGAAGUGCUUUAUGAUUUAUAAGCGCUGAAUCUCAUAAACAGAGACUCAGAGUUUGAAUCAUUUGCCUAAGGUGUGAGCACAGAUCUGGACACCCAGCUCAGUGAAUGGAGAAGAUCAGGGAAAGUCUGAAUGAAGGCCAGCAGGCAGUAUCAGCCGAACCAAGAAGGGCCAUAAAGCUGCAGACCAGGAAAUCUGCCCUCUGAGAGCACAGAAUUUAGAAUGGACAGCAAAUUUAGUAAAAGUGUUCCAGCUAGAAGAUUUGGAUGAAAAGUGAUUCCAAAAAAAUGAGGCAAUCUCAUCCCGAAACUAUUUAAAACUACUCUCCUCUCUCUUGAUAAACCGUCAGUAGGAAGUGUGUCGUUUAUUCCCUCACUCCACACUGGAUUCAUAUGGGCUGAUAGCAGCAGGAUUAAAAAUUUUUUUCAUCAUGAGUUAAAUCCCUAAGAUUUAGAGUAUUUUGUUUGUCUGAAUGUCUAAGCGGUACAAACCUUAGCAAUCCAUAUUAAAAUGGAGAAUUCCUUCUUUUGGUAUUCACAAGCAUAACAUACAUAAUCC